UGAAUGCACAUGGCUACCAUCAGGCACUGA
rnacentral:piRNA from 1 species